rnacentral:rRNA from 1 species
CGCUGAACUUAAGCAUAUCAUUAAGCGGAGGAAAAGAAACUAACAAGGAUUCCCCCAGUAACGGCGAGUGAAGCGGGAAGAGCUCAAGCUUAAAAUCUCCAUGUUUUCAUGGCGAAUUGUAGUCUAUUGAGGCUGUUGUCAGCAUAGCGAUCUGGGACAAGUCCCUUGGAAAAGGGCAGCAUAGAGGGUGAUACUCCCGUCUCUGCUCAGAUUGUCUGUGUGUACGAUACGCUUUCUUUGAGUCGAGUUGUUUGGGAAUACAGCUCAAAGUAGGUGGUAAAUUCCAUCUAAAGCUAAAUAUUGGUGCGAGACCGAUAGCGAACAAGUACCGUGAGGGAAAGAUGAAAAGAACUUUGAAAAGAGAGUUAAAGAGUACCUGAAACUGUUGAAAGGGAACCGUAACAUUUCCAGUGUUGUAUCCUGUGCAUAUUUCAUUAGCGGAGUAAUUUGCUGGUGCCCUGUGCAUGGGUGUGACGUCAGGGUCAGUUUGUAUGCUGCGGGAGAUGGUUAGUAAGGAGGUGCGUCACUUCGGUGAAAGUUAUACCUUGCUAUCUAGUAGCCGUGGUUGAGACUGAGGUGCCUACAACAUGCCUUGAGGUUCGGUGUUGUCUCGUUGUGGUGACUGCUUGGAUAGCUUGCUAUGUCUGUGGUUAAUUAUGGCGAUUGAUGAUGUCGAUAACUUCUGCUGUUCGGGACUCUGGCGAAAUGGAGUGUUACGACCCGUCUUGAAACACGGACCAAGGAGUCUAACAUGUGUGCAAGUAUUAGGGCGUGGAAACCCAAAUGCGUAAUGAAAGUAAAUGGUGCUUAUGCAUCUGUGGUAGGAAAGGGCUGUAAUGGUCCUGGCACUAUCGACCGAUCAUGAACCUACGGGUGAAAGAUUUGAGUAUGAGCAUAUAUGUUGGUACCCGAAAGAUGGUGAACUAUGCCUGAAUAGGGUGAAGCCAGGGGAAACUCUGGUGGAAGCUCGUAGCGAUUCUGACGUGCAAAUCGAUCGUCAAAUUUGGGUAUAGGGGCGAAAGACUAAUCGAACCAUCUAGUAGCUGGUUCCCUCCGAAAUUUCCCUCAGGAUAGCAGCAACUUUUUACGAUAGUUUUAUGAGGUAAAGCGAAUGAUUAGAGGCCUCGGGGAAGAAACUUCCUCGACCUAUUCUCAAACUUUAAAUGGGUAAGACCUGUGGGUUUCUUAAUUGAACCUGUGGACGUGAAUAUCCAAGUUGCUAGUGGGCCAUACCGGGUAAGCUGGUCUGGCGAUGCGGGAUGAUCCGAACGCAGAGUUAAAGUGCCAAAGUACCCGCUCACCUAGAUACCAUAAAAGGUGUUGGUUCAUUUAGACAGCAGGACGGUGGCCAUGGAAGUCGGAAUCCGCUAAGGAUG